UACGAGGGGGGCAAAUGUUGUUCGGAAUCACUGGGCGUAAAGGGAGCGUAGGCGGGCUCUUAAGUUAGGUGUUUAAUCCUGGGGCCCAACCCCAGUCGUGCACCUAAAACUGGGAGUCUUGAAUAGUGGAGAGGUCAGUGGGAUUGGGGGUGUAGCGGUGGAAUGCGUAGAGAUCCCCAAGAACACCAGUUGCGAAGGCGGCUGACUGGACACAUAUUGACGCUGAGGCUCGAAAGCAUGGGGAGCAAACAGG
rnacentral:rRNA from 1 species